rnacentral:rRNA from 1 species
CAAAGUUGUGUAGUGCGAUCGGUGGAUGCCUUGGCACCAAGAGCCGAUGAAGGACGUUGUGACCUGCGAUAAGCCCUGGGGAGUUGGUGAGCGAGCUGUGAUCCGGGGGUGUCCGAAUGGGGAAACCUGGAAUGUCCGGAGUAGUGUCCGGUGGCCCUGCCCUGAAUGUAUAGGGGUGUGGGUGGUAACGCGGGGAAGUGAAACAUCUUAGUACCCGUAGGAAGAGAAAACAAGUGUGAUUCCGUGAGUAGUGGCGAGCGAAAGCGGAGGAGGCUAAACCGUGUGUGUGUUCAAGCCGGCAGGUGUUGCAUGUGCGGGGUUGUGGGGGCCUUGUGGUUCUGCUGCCGCAGGAUUGGCCAGUGAGAAAUGUUGCGUGAAGGUGAAGCGUCUGGGAAGGCGUACCGGAGUGGGUGAGAGUCCUGUAACUGUAAGCGUGGCACUGGUGUGGGGUUGCCCCGAGUAGCGUGGGACUCGUGGAAUUUCGCGUGAAUCUGGCGGGACCACCCGUCAAGCCUAAAUACUCCUUGGUGACCGAUAGUGGAUGAGUACCGUGAGGGAAGGGUGAAAAGUACCCCGGGAGGGGAGUGAAAGAGUUCCUGAAACCGGUCGCAUGCAAGCCGUCAGAGCCUGUGUGGUGAUGGCGUGCCUUUUGAAGAAUGAGCCUGCGAGUUAGUGAUGCGUGGCGAGGUUAACCCGUGGUGGGGGAGUCGUAGCGAAAGCGAGUCCGAUAAGGGCGUGAGUCGCGUGUUCUAGACCCGAAGCGGUGUGAUCUAUCCAUGGCCAGGAUGAAGCGUCGGUAAGACGUCGUGGAGGUCCGAACCCACUUCAGUUAAAAAUGGAGGGGAUGAGUUGUGGAUAGGGGUGAAAGGCCAAUCAAACACCGUGAUAGCUGGUUCUCCCCGAAAUGCAUUUAGGUGCAGCGUUGCGUGGUUCUUGUUGGAGGUAGAGCACUGGAUGGUCUAGGGGGCUUAUCGGCUUACCGAAAUCAGCCAAACUCCGAAUGCUGGCAAGUGUAGCGUGGCAGUGAGACGGCGGGGGAUAAGCUUCGUCGUCGAGAGGGAAACAGCCCAGAUCAUCAGCUAAGGCCCCUAAGUGGUGACUCAGUGGGAAAGGAUGUGGAGUUGCGUAGACAACCAGGAGGUUGGCUUGGAAGCAGCCAUCCUUGAAAGAGUGCGUAAUAGCUCACUGGUCAAGUGAUUCCGCGCCGAUAAUGUAGCGGGGCUUAAGUUAUCCGCCGAAGCUGUGGCAACCUGUGUGGUUGGGUAGGGGAGCGUCGUGUCAGUGGUGAAGCUGCCGGGUGACUGUGUGGUGGAGUUGAUGCGAGUGAGAAUGCAGGCAUGAGUAGCGUGUGACGGGUGGGAAUCCCGUCCGCCGAUUAUCCAAGGGUUCCAGGGUCAAGUUUGUCUGCCCUGGGUGAGUCGGGUCCUAAGGCGAGGCCGACAGGCGUAGUCGAUGGGUAACCAGUUGAUAUUCUGGUACCGGCUUGUCACCGUCCGUGUCGAGGUGUGUGAUGCUAAGCAUGUGAGCUUGUCUUGGGAGUGUUUUUGAUGCUUCUGGGGUGGGUGAGUGUGUGAACCGAUCAUGUAGUAGGCAAGCUGCGGAGGGACGCAGUGAGGUAGCUCAUCCCCGGUGAUGGUUGUCCGGGGCUAAGUGUGUGGACUGUCUGGUAGGUAAAUCCGCUGGGCGUGAAGGUUGAGGCAUGAUGGGGAGCCCAUGGUUGUGGGUGAGUGAGUGAUCCUGUACUGUCGAGAAAAGCUUCGUGAGCGAGGUGGCGGGUCCGCCCGUACCCUAAACCGACACUGGUGGAUAGGUAGAGUAUACCGAGGCGAUCGAGUGAAUCGUGGUGAAGGAACUCGGCAAAAUGCCCCCGUAACUUUGGGAUAAGGGGGACCUGAGCUGUCGUGCACCCGUGCGGUGUGGUGGCGGUGAGGGGCGCAGAGUCCAGGGGGAAACGACUGUUUACCAAAAACACAGGUCCGUGCGAAGUCGUAAGACGAUGUAUACGGACUGACUCCUGCCCGGUGCUGGAAGGUUAAGAGGACCUGUUAGGCCACUUCGUGGCCGAAGCGGAGAAUUUAAGCCCCAGUAAACGGCGGUGGUAACUAUAACCAUCCUAAGGUAGCGAAAUUCCUUGUCGGGUAAGUUCCGACCUGCACGAAUGGCGUAACGACUUCUCCACUGUCU